CCGAAUCCCCCUUUAUAUUCCUCUCUGGAUUCAGGAGCGGAGACUCAGAGAUAAGCCAAGAAGCCAUGAAUCCCCUGGCGCUGAUUUUCUGCACGGCUCUCUUCUGCGUCCUCCUCUAUCACUUCCUCACGCGCCGCUCCGUCCGCCUCCCUCCGGGGCCCAAGCCAUGGCCGAUUGUGGGGAACCUCCCGCACCUGGGCCCCGUCCCUCACCACUCCAUUGCUGCGCUCGCUAAAACCUACGGCCCUCUCAUGCAUCUCCGUAUGGGCUUCGUCGACGUCGUGGUGGCCGCCUCCGCCUCCGUUGCUGCUCAGUUCUUGAAAACUCAUGAUGCUAAUUUCUCCAACAGGCCUCCGAAUUCAGGUGCCAAGCAUAUCGCUUACAACUAUCAGGAUCUGGUGUUCGCUCCCUACGGCCCCCGGUGGCGCAUGCUCCGCAAGAUUUGCUCCGUCCACCUCUUCUCCGGCAAAGCCUUGGAUGAUUUUCGCCAUAUCCGACAGGUACCUAGCUUAAUCUCUCUCAGAAAUGAAUGCUUUCUCAAUUUUAAUCCAUUUUUCGUUUUUUCUUCCUGAUCGCUUCUAUUAUUUCAUCGCAAAUUAAGAUCUGGUUACACAGAUUUCAUUUUUCCAUAAAAACAUCUAAGAAAAUAAUAGCAUGUGUCCACCAUCAUUGUCUAAUCCUGUCAGAGUAUUUGCAGUCUCCACUCUCUGUGUAUUUCAAACUUACUUUUCAAUACUACACAUCUUUUUGAAGAAGGCCCGGCUCCACAAGUUUAUUUUUACUAUUUUUUUAAUGAUUUUUUUUUUAGUAAAGUUGUUUUCCUCCGGCAGGUGGUGUCUUGUCCGAACUGACAAGUCCAUGCAUUCACGCGAGACUUUUUCCAAUUUUAAUGAUUAGAAAAAUAAUGAGUUGAUGAAAAUUUAUGUGACGUACAGGAGGAGGUUGCGGUGCUAACGCGCGCACUUGCGAGGGCGGGUCAAACGCCGGUGAACUUGGGGCAGCUGCUGAACGUGUGUACUACCAACGCCCUAGGGCGGGUGAUGUUAGGCAGGAGAGUGUUCGGCGACGGCAGUGGAGGCGAAGAUCCGAAGGCCGACGAGUUCAAAGAGAUGGUGGUGGAGCUGAUGGUCCUGGCCGGAGUUUUCAACAUCGGCGACUUUGUGCCGGCGCUGGAAUGGCUGGACCUGCAGGGCGUGGCUGCCAAGAUGAAGAAGCUCCAUGCUCGGUUUGACGCUUUCCUGGGCGCCAUCGUGGAGGAGCACAAGAUCAGCGGCUCUGCUGGUUCCGAGCGUCACGUGGACUUACUCAGCACGUUGAUCUCGGUGAGGGAUAAUGCCGACGGUGAGGGAGGCAAGCUCACCGACGUUGAGAUCAAAGCCUUGCUCUUGGUAUCUCUCAUUAUCCAUUUUCUUUCGUUCCUUUUAAAAAAAAAAUAAUUAUAUUUAUUUACAUUUUUUCCAGAAAAAAAAAAAAAAUUAUUAAUGGGGUCAAAUCUCCCAAAUAAAGUUUGAUAUGGACAUUACAAUAAACUUUUGUUUACUUGUAAAAGUAAGAAUUAUUAUCUGUCACUGUUUCGUCUACUUCUUGUGGUAAUUUGGUACCUGAAAUUGAUGAAAACCGUCUGUUGACAUGGCAGAACUUGUUCACAGCUGGAACUGACACCUCAUCCAGCACAGUAGAGUGGGCCAUUGCAGAGCUCAUUCGCCACCCUGAAAUGAUGGCCCAAGCCCAACAAGAGCUGGACGCAGUGGUGGGCCGAAGCAGGCUUGUAACUGAUUUGGACCUGCCCCAACUCACCUAUGUCCAAGCCAUAAUCAAGGAAACCUUCCGCCUGCACCCAUCCACGCCCCUCUCCCUCCCUCGGAUGGCGGCGGAGAGCUGUGAGAUCAACGGCUACCACAUCCCCAAAAACGCCACUCUUCUAGUGAACGUGUGGGCCAUAGCGCGGGACCCAGAGGUGUGGGAGGAGCCACUAGAAUUCAGGCCCAACAGGUUCCUCCCAGGAGGGGAAAGACCAAAUGCGGACGUGAGAGGGAAUGAUUUUGAAGUGAUUCCAUUCGGGGCUGGCCGGAGAAUAUGCGCGGGGAUGAGCUUGGGACUGAGGAUGGUGCACCUGUUAACCGCGACGCUUGUUCAUGCGUUCAACUGGGAGUUGCCGGAAGGCCAGGUGGCGGAGAAGCUGAACAUGGAUGAGGCAUAUGGGCUGACCCUACAACGAGCCGCCCCACUCAUGGUGCACCCACGGCCAAGGCUGUCACCCCAAGUUUUCGGGAAGUAAAUGAGGUUGUUUGCCCAUGAUUAAAAUAGAAGACUUGGUGAUGGAUUUGGCUGAAUAAUUAUGAUGUUCGAGAGCGAGUUUAGUAGUUUUGUGAUGGGUUUUCCCUCAACCACCUGCAUGUUAAUACUGUAAACGAUGAUUCUCAAGGGGUAUCUAAUAAUGCAAUAUGUUGGUUUAAAAUUUAAAAUAUUUACUUCACAAUAUCGAGCGUAGGAGAAGAAACUAGAAAGUCAUAUGAUGAAUAAUGUCCCCAAAACUCAAACAGAGAUCAUCACAAUCUAAAGAGUCGUGCAAGGCGGCGAGUGUACCAACUACCAAUAAAAGCACGAAAGCUGAACAAGGAGUAGCUUCAUCUGUCAUCUGACCAACCAGCCUCCUCACAAAAUACCAUAUUCCAAGUCAAAGGUAGUAUAUAUGAUUUAUUGGACGAGAAGUUGAGGCUCCAAACAUCUUUAAUACAGCACCUUUCAAACAAGAUACUUGAAAAUGUACAAAAUCACCUCAUCUCGAAACCAGGAUUAUAAAAGAAGACGACCUCCCGGACCUAUCAGAUGACCUGAUCGUACAAAAUCACCUCAUCCCGAAACCAAGACUAUAAAAGAAGACGACAUCCCGUACCUAUAAUAUGACCUAAUUGACCGACAUGUGUCUAAAAAGACGAGUCCAAUUACCCUUAUCCCCUUUAUCCUUAUAUGCACAAAAGUCAAUAAAGCCUACCGUAAAAAGUGUGCUGAAACAACUCCUUCAUAAAGAAAGUAACUUUAAAAGAGAAGUCUCUUCCUCCUUAAGGGCUCUCUCUCUCUCUCUCCAUCUUAAAGAAGAGAAAAUGUAUCUUUGUAUCCAAAAUGAUUGAAUAAAAUAUCUAAUAUGUUUCUUGAAGAAUUUUAGCAUAUUGAAGAAGUAUCAUAACUCCUAAUAGAUUUAAUUAUCACUAAAAUUAUUGAAAUAAAACCUCUAGAUGUGUUGUGAUCAUGAAUGCUUAAAUACAGUAAUUUUUAUUUAUUUUUAAAAUAAAUAAUAAAUUAAUUAAUUUAAUCUUAUAUAUUCUCUAGAUCAUGUGGUAUCUUUUAAUUUUUUAAUAUUAAUUUUUUUACAAAUUAAUUAUCAAAUUUAUAAAAACCCCAUGAAUAAUUGACUAAAUCGAUUCUUCCCUAACUUUCAAUAUCUUUCAUAAAUAGGUAAUUUUUUAAAAUAUUAAAGAGUAGCGUGGAAACUAAUUAUUAAUCUAAUUACGAUAUUAAAUAAAUAAAAAUUAGAUAUUUUUGAAAUUCAUGUACUAUAUAGUUAUUUUUUCAUAAAUAAAUUCUUAUUUGUAAUUAAUAAUUUACAUUAAUAAAAAUUUAUAACAUUACUUAUAUCAUCGUAAUAAAUUUAAAAAAUGUGGACUUUGUUGAGGCCUCGCGUCCGUGGUAAUCCAUGUAGUUGCCAAAUGGAUGGACGCACGAUCUCAACCAAUAUAGAUUUCUGGUUUAGUCGUUCCUGCAAAAGGCGUCUGGACAGGGUGUCUGGAUACACCCUCCGAUGGUAUUGUCAGCCAUGGUCCAAGAGAUAAAUCAGUUGGCCUUUUACUAGGUAUAUCAAAACUUACCUUCCUCUUUGUGCGAAGGUCCAUAUAUAUCGUCUCAGAAGCUCUAUCUCCCUCUUUAAUGAUAGAGAGAUAUUUUGGCUUGUCAUGAUGUCUCUAGGUGGUGACAGGGUCAUCAUCACUCGUAGGGCGGCUGACAAAGAUCGUGGGAGGCGCCGCAGCUGUCAGAGAUCGUAGGAAGUGACUUGCCAUCAUUCCUGUCCUUUCACUCUGCAGGUGGCGGAACGUGGGCCGUGAAAGACUGUCGGAAUGACGUAGUAAGACUUGCUUACUUUAGUCAACGAUCCGGACAAACAUAUCCGGAUAGGAUAUGUCAGUCGUUCGGAUGUGAUAUGACGAUCGUCCGGAUGUGAUGUUUGCGAGUGUCAUGUGCUUCUCCCUGAGGAAGUCCGGAUAUGAGAAGCGCGUCACGUGUCUCCUUUGGGGGAAAUCCGGAUGGAGCUAAUCCGGAUAGAAAUGUGUGCCACUUGUCAUCAGGGGGAGGGGUCCCUACAGACUUGUCGUUCAUUUCUUUCUCUCUCAAUAUAUUAUUAAAUACAUAAAUUAAUAAUAUUUAUUAAAAUGAUAUUUGCAAGUUGGGGGUGGGAUGAGAACUAUUAAAUACAUAAAUUAAUAAUAUUUAUUAAAAUGAUAUUUGCAAGUAGGGGAUGGGAUGAGAACUCGUGUUGGGAUUUUUGAUCCUAAACGUCUAAUUGAAGGGAUUUUGAAAAAAAAUAUUUAUUAAAGUAUAUCAAUUUUAAAACCAUUUUCAAAUCUACUAUAUUUUUUAUAAUAUCAAUUAAAAAUUAUCUUUUUAUAAAACACCAACUUUAAAUCAAAUAUGAAAAUUAUUUUGUGAAAAAUUAAUUUUAAAAUUCAACUAAGUUUUCUCUUCAGAAAACAACUUUUACUUUAAGUUUUUGAAAGUACUAUACAUUUGGAAGUAGUUUCAAAAGUGUGAUAUUUUAAUAAAUAUUUUUUAAAAUUGCAAUAUUUUUUUCAAAAUCUUGACACUUAAGAUAGAGUGGGCAAGCAUGGGAAAAAAAUUUACAUACACUCAAAUUUAUGUCUUAGACUAGGAACUGAAAAAUUGUGGGGCAUAUGGAUAAUACAAAAACAAUUAUCUUACUUAGAGUUACUUAUUAUUACUUAUUAUUACUUAUGCAUUAAUUAAAAGGAAAGUGUUAAGGUAUCCAAAUGCUACAUAUAGAACUUCAAAUUCGGACUAAAUUGAAUAUAUAUAUAUAUAAUGAUAUUUAAGUAAUGAAAAUUCAAACAACUAGGAUUAUGGUAUAAGAAUAGGAAUAAAUGAGAUUAUGAUACAAAUAAUAACAUUUGAAAAUGUAUACCUAAGAUCAUUUUAUUGAGUUUUUUCAUACAUUUAUUUGAGCUUAGGAUUGCAGAUGGUGCAUGUUGGGAAGUGUCACAAAUUCCUAAUUAGUAAAGAUUGAGAGAUAUUCAAUGGAACGAGAUGACUCGUGGUUCAAGGUGUAAAUAUAAAGAGUGAAAAUAUAUUUUGAGAACCUAAUAAUUAUAUUUGGUUUUGUCCUCUAUAAUGUUCUCUGUGAUAUAAUGAAAAGAUUUUCUCUCGUCCGUGAAUAUAGGUAUGAUUGAUCAAAUCACGUUAAAACCUCAUUGUAGCCUACUCUCUACGGUGAAUGGUUUGUUUUUGUUUUUUGUUUUUAUUUAUUUAUUUAUUAUUUUGUUCUUCUGACCACCCGGAAUCAUUAAAACCUCGUUGUAGCGCCCCUGCCUCCUGUGAAAGGGUUUGUUUUUGUUUCUAUUUUUUUUUUUUUUUUUUUUGUUAUUCUGAUCACCUCGGAAUUAAGCUGAUGGGGCGACCAAAUACGAAAGGGGAGAGAGAGAGGGAGUUUUGGGCAAACAUGAUUCCGAAAUUCACGGAAUCAUUAUUCUUAUUUUAAAGUCUUGGGCGACGGUGAAUAACUUUUUAAAAUUUCCUAAAAUUUUAAAGUCUCAAAUUUAUUUAUUUAUUUUAAAAAUACCAUUCUCAAAAUAAUUUUCUAAAAUUUGAUUUUAAAAAUUUAGUUUUCAAAACUUUAAUUCUCGAAAUUCACUCUUCUAAAACUCCAUUUUUUAAAAUUUAAUCAUUUAAAAUUCAAUUCUUGAAAUAAUUUUCUAGAAUUCUAAUUUUAAAUUUAAUUUUCCAAGAUUCAAAUUUUUAAAAUUUAAUUUUCCGAAAUUUCCACAAUCCCGAAUUUAAUUUUUUAUUUUUUAUUUUUUUAUGUCACAUUCAAAUAAAUUUUCGAAACUCCAAUUCCUUUUUAUUCAUUUACUUAUUGAUUUUUAAAAUUCCAUCUUUUAAAUAACUCUUCAAAAUUCUGUUUUUAAAAUUUAAUUCCAAUUUCCAAAAUUCCAAUUUUCGUAUCAAUUUAUUUAAUCAUUAUCACUUUAUUCAUUCAUUUAUUUGUUUAUUUUUUUAAAAUUCAAUUUUUAAAUAACUCUUCAAAAUUUCAUUUUUUAAAAUUUAAUUCCAAUUUCCGAAAUUCCAAUUUUCGUAUCAAUUUAUUUAAUCAUUAUCACUUUAUUCGUUUAUUCAUUUGUUUAUCUUUAAAAUUCAAUCUUUAACUCUUCAAAAUUUCGAUUUCUGAAUUUAAUUCAAAUUUCCAAAAUUCUAGUUUUCUUAUCGAUUUAUUUAAUCACUAUCAUUUUAUUCAUUUAUUUAUUUGUCUAUUUUUAUCAAAAUUCAGAUUUCCAAAUUAAGUUUCCAAUUUCCAAAAUUCCAUUUUUUUCAUUUACUUAAUCAUCAUUAUUUUCAUUAUUAUCAUUAUUCUAUUUAUUUAUUUCAAAAAUUCCUUCUUCAAAUGAUUCCAAUCUUAUGACUUUCGAAUUUAAUUUCUAAUCUAAAAAAUUUCAAUAUUUAUGUACGUUUUUCCCAAAACCCCAAUUUCCGAACUUAAUUUUCCAAAUUCCAAAAUUCUAAUUUCCUUCAAAUUUACUCUCCAAAAUUCUGAUCAUUAAAUUUAAUUCCCAAGACUCUAACUCCCAAAUAAAUUUCAAAAGUCCAGUUUUCACUCGAACGGUUUUGAUUCCACUCUAGUUUUCAAAUAAUCUUCUUUUUCUUUUGAUUUUAUAUAAGCGUGAAUGCAAUUUUCAUAAUUCCAAAAUAAUGGAAUUUGUGAUAUUAAUUCAUGCAAGAUUAAUCGGGCUUUGGUAGGGGCCCACAUAUGAGUUUUCUCUUCUGAUUGUAAAUUGUUAUGCUUGAUGAGUAUUGUUUGAUCUUUGUCUUGCUCUUUGAUAUGCAUGUGAUGAUUUUAUAUCUGAGCUAACCUUGUUUCCAUGAUAAUGCACUAUUACCUGCUGUCAAGAUACGCUCCCACUCCCGCUUUGCUUACUCUUAUGCGCGAUUCGUUUUAUUAUUUGAUCAUUUCAUUAAUAUCCAUUGACUUCCUUAUCAAUUGCCACACUUCCUUCACCUUAUUUAGUAGAGAUCCGAAUUUAGGGACUUAGAGGGGUGCUGCGGUCCUUAUCAUACCUUCCCGAUAAGUAACCUGACCCCCGAGCCUAAUCCGGUUUUUCACAGACCACCUUUUUCGAAAUAAUGAGUCACACUUAGGGUUUUAUUUCUUAUUUUAUUUACCCUUUAAAAAUAAAACAAAAAUAAGUAGUGACUCCAAGUCCUUUUUUAAUCAAUAAAUCAUUUUUUAAAAAUAAAAAUUGAACUCGCCAUCGAGUGGAAGCGCAUGAGCCGAAAUGCGGGGUCCACACUUACGUAAUCUAACAUUAUUUAUAUUAAAGCUUUUGUUAACGCAACAAACUAGUCUUCAAAUUGAUGAAUGGGGUUUUUUUUUUUUUUUUUUCNNNNNNNNNNNNNNNNNNNNNNNNNNNNNNNNNNNNNNNNNNNNNNNNNNNNNNNNNNNNNNNNNNNNNNNNNNNNNNNNNNNNNNNNNNNNNNNNNNNNNNNNNGGGGUUUUUUUUUUUUUUUUUUCUCAUUCAUACUGUGGACCCCGCAUUUCGGCUCAUGCGUUUCCCACUCGAUGGCAAGCUCGAUUUUUAUUUGAAAUUUUGAUUUUUAUUUGAUAAAGAAAAAUGACUUGGAGUCGCCACUUAUUUUUCUUUUAUUUUUAAAAAGGUAAACAAAAUAAGAAAGAAAAACCCUAAGUGUGACUCCUUAUUUUGGAAAAGGUGAUCUACGAAAUAUCGGAUUGGGUUCGGGGGUCAGGUUACUUAUCGGGAAGGUACGGUAUAAACCGUAGCACCCCUCUAAGUCCCUAGAGUCGGGUCUUUACUAAUACAAUGAAACUGACGUGGCAAUCAACGAGAAAGUCAAUGGAUACACACCUAAAUUAUACACAAUAUGGGAAUCAAAACACGCAAUAGAGAUUGACUAGAAUGAGAGUGGAUGCGUACCUCGACCACAAGCCACAAUGCGCUAUCAAGAAACGGGAUUAGUGCACAAUUAAGGAACACAAAAAAUAGCUCAUGCAUAUCGGAGUGCAAAACGAAGCUCAAGCAAAAUACAUUAAGAGCCCGUUUGGCAGUGAUUUUUAAAAGUGUUUCUACCCUUAAAAACACUUUUAAGUGUUUUUGGGAUGAAAAUAAAGUGUUUGGCAAAUUUUAAAAAACACUUUUGAAAAUCUGGAAAAACACUUGAAGUGAUUUUUAGAGAAUCACUUGAUAGGUGUUUUUUUAAAAAAAACACUUCAAUUUUUUUGAAAUAUUCCAAAAAUGCCCCCCAGUGAUAAAUCAAUUAGAAAAAUCUUUUUUUUUUUUCCAGAAAUUAAUAGGUGGUCAUAUAUUGUUUUACUUUUAAAAUUAUCUUUUAUUCAAUGUUCUUUUUUUUUUUUUAUUGAUUUAGAUGUUUUUUGUAAAUAUUUUUUAAAAUUUUAGUAUAGUGAUAAAAAAAUUAUUAUUUUUAAUUAGAAAAGUCUUUUUUUUUUUUUAGAAAUUAAUAGGUAAUCAUAUAUUGUUUUAAUUUUAAAAUUAUCUUUUAUUCAAUGUUAUUUUUUUAGUGAUUUAGAUGUUUUUUCAUUAAUAAAAAGUUUUUUUUGUUUAUCAUACCAUUUUUUUUUAAUUAAAAUUGUAUGUCCUUUUUGGUAAUUUAUUAAUAUUAAAAGUGUUUUUAUAUUUAUACAAUAUAUUAUCAAAAACACUUUAGAAUCAUUUUUUCUGAUUAUCAUAAAAGUGUUUUUCACAGAAACACUAUAACAGAAAACACUUCAAAUAAAAACACUUCCACUAGAAUCACUACCAAACGGGCUCUAAGUACGACAAUUGACAAUAAAAAAAGGAUCACACAUAGGGCCCCCACCAAAGCCCAAUUUAUUACUCAUGAACUAGUCUCACAAAUUCCGUGUUUUAGAAUUAUGAAGAAUUUAUUAUUGUUUAUGUAGAAUCAAGAAGAUCAGAAGAUUAUUUAAGAACCGGAAUAGAAUUAAAACUAUUCAAGUGAAAACUGGAUUUUUGGAAUUUACUUGAAAAUUGGAGUAUUGGGAAUUGAAUUUAAAAUAUUAGAGCUUCGGUAAUUAAAAUGAAAUUUGCCAAAGAAGAUGAGAAAUGAACUUUAGGAAAUUGAUUUGCGAGAAUAUGGGUUUUGAAAGUUGAAUUUGUAAUAAUAAUAAUAAUAAGGAGUGAACUUUAGGAAAUUGAACUGCGAGAAUAUAGAUUUUUAAUAAUAAUAAUAAUAAAAAAAAAUAAACUUUAGGAAAUUAAAUUGCGAAGAUAUAGAUUUUUAUUAAUAAGUAUAAUAAUAAUGAUAAUAAUAAUAUUAGGAAAUUGAACUGAGCGAGAGUAUAGAUUUUUAAUAAUAAUGCUAAUAAUAAUGCUAAUAAUAAUAAUAAUAAUAAUAAUAAUAAUAAUAAUAACCAUAAUAAUGAUAAUAAUAACAAUGAGGUUUUGGAAUAAUAAUAAUAAUGAUAACAAGAUUUUGAAAGUUGAAUUAAUAAUAAUAAUAAGAAUAAUAUUUUAAAAGUUGAAUUAAGAAUAAUAAUAACAAUAAUAUUUUAAAAGUUGAAUUAAUAAUAAUAAUAAGAUUUUAAAAGUUGAAUUAAUAAUAAUAAUAAUAAUAAUAAUAAUAAUAAUAAUCAUAAUAAUAAUAAGAAUAAUAAGAUUUUUAAAUAAUAAUAAUAAUAAGGUUUUGAAAGUUGAAUUAAUAAUAAUAAUAAUAAUAAUAUUUUAAACGUCGGAUUAAUAAUAAUAAUAAUAAUAAGAUUUUAAAAGUUGAAUUAAUAAUAAUAAUAAUCAUAAUAAUAAUAAUAAUAAUAAUAAGAUUUUGAAAUAAUAAUAAUAAUAAUAAGGUUUUGAAAGUUGAAUUAAUAAUAAUAAUGAUAUUUUAAAAGUUGAAUUAAUAAUAAUAAUAAUAAUAAUAAUAAUAAUAAUAUUUUAAACGUCGGAUUAAUAAUAAUAAUAAUAAUAUGGACUUCAAAAAAAUGGGCCUUAAUAAUGAUAAUAAUAGGCCUUGGACCUCAAAAAAAGGGCCUUGGGAAUGAAUAGUACAGGGGGCAUGAGGCCCUUCAUUAACGCGACUAGGCUUGGGCUUCCCCACCAGGCCCAUAUCCAUCAUCUUGGACAGGCCCCAAGCUCUAACUCCAUCACAUGCUUGGAUUGGGCCCCAACUCAAGCCCAAAUUAAAAGCAAACCCAAGAACACCAAAUUCUCUCACAGCCCACAUCUCCAACCUCCGCCUGGGCAUCACCAUCUAAAUACUCUGUGUCCUCGAGCUCACCGUCAACCUCAUCGCCUUCUUCAUCGGAACCCCACAUCUCAUCAUCCUCUUUCAAGGUUCGCCGCCCACGCGCACUCACACGCGCUUGCUCUGGUUGCCGAAGCCAAGGGUUGAACCAGUCUUGGACAGCCGCAAUAACGUCAGUGCGCGGGCAUCUGCUCAGUUCUCAUGUUAGACGAAGGAGAUGGGCCUUCCGAUCAGGGUUGAGGAGAAAAAGGGAGGAAGCGAUCCUGCUCGUUGGAGCAAUGCGCCAGGUGACCAUGGAGAUCGGUGGAGAAGUUACUCCUAGCCUCUGAGACGAGCAAUGGAGGAGGAGAAGCUCCACUGCCGCCAUUGAUUCAGCUGACUGGGCAAGCUUGAGGAGGCGGGUAUGAAGGAUGGCGGCCAUACAUGGCUAUGCGUGGCCACGUGAGAACGAGAGGAAUGAGUGCAAUGGACAAGGAAAAUGGGUUUGGAUAAGUUUAGAGAUAUGAUAUGCAUGGGCUGCUAGAGAGGAAUAUGAUGGAUGAACAUGGAGUAUACUAUGGAUGGGAAGGUAGGGAUGACUAUGCGCAUGGAGCUCCAUGCACACGAGAAGACAGAGAAUCAAAGGGUUAGUAUAGAUAGCAUGGGAUCUCAGACUUCAAUGUCUUCAAUAUUGCGUUCUCUGCAUCACUCCAAACAUGACGCUGGCUUUCAGGAUGGAGGCAAACAGAGCAAAGGAAAAAAAAAGCAAAACCAAGCAUGGAUAAUCGAAACAAAUGGAACCCAUAACAGCCUCAUGUUGUGCAUUAAUCCCUGGGCUUAGAUGGAGGUGGGUGAAAAUAAAGGAUCAUCAAACAAAACCAGAGCAUGGUUGCAGAUAUAUUAUGGGGAAAAACAAAGACGAAAUCACCUUAAGCAAGAACCAUUAAGAAGGGAUAUAUGGAUAUGCUUACCCUCAACACACAAACAUCACCCAAGAAUGGACAGAGAAAGAGAAGAGAACCAUACCUGUGAGUGAUCUUCUCUAACAAGAUCGAGCCAAAAACUCAGCAAAGCAUCCCUCUUUUCCCUUGCUUAGCUUUCCACCAUUCUCUCCUUUUCUUCCUUUCACUAUCUCCCAUCUCUCCCUCUUGUCCCGUCUUUUCCUCUCUGGCCCCCCACUUACUCCUCCUGCCACAGCCCCAAAGAAAAGAUAUAUUUAUUAUUAUUUUUUCUUUGCUGGCAGCUUCUCCUCCGAGCUAUCUCUCGCCGCCACCAGCAGCUCGCCUCAUCCCAUCCCAUGGCCGCCCGUUUCCCAGGUGGUCAGUAUAUAUAUAUAUAUAUAAACAAUCAGAUGUCUCUCAUGGGGGGUCUACACAUACUUUUAUUCAUUCAUGUAUAGAGUAUAUAUGAAGGAUAAUCACCAUUCUAAGAAUGGGAAAGAAUGAUACAAGGAAGGAAUGAUAUAAGGAAAUAAUGAUACAAGGAAAGGAAUAAUAUAAGGAAAUAAUGAUACAAGGAAAGCAUUCCUAAUAUCUCAACACUCCCCUCUUAAGGAAAAAAUGAUACAAGGAAAGUAUUCCUAAUAUCUCAACACUCCCCCUCAAGUUGGUGCAUAGAUGUCACACAUGCCCAACUUGUUUAAAAAUUUUGAGAACACUUGUCUUGAGAUAGCUUUGGUGAGGAUAUCAGCCAAUUGAUCUUCUGAUUUAAUCUUAGGCAAUUCCACAAUCUUAUCAUCCAACUUCUCCUUAAUGAAGAAUCUAUCCACCUCGACAUGCUUUGUAUGAUCAUGUUGUACUGGAUUAUGUGCAAUGUCACAUGCAACAUUAUUGUCAGAAAACAAUCGGAUUGGUUGCCUAGAUAGGUAACCUAAAUCCUGUAAGAGGAGUCUUAGCCAUAAUGCCUCACAAAGUCCUAAAGCCAUACCCCUAAAUUCUGCUUCUGCACUUGAAUGAGCAACGACAUUAUGCUUCUUACUUUCCAUGUCACAAGAUUACCACCUACAAAGAUAAAGUAACCAGAUGUAGACCGCAUAGCAUCCACUGUACCGACCCAAUCAGCAUCAGUAUAUACUUCUAUACUCUGAUGAUCAACAUUUUUAGCGAACAAAAUUCCCUUCCCAAGAGCAUUCUUCAAAUACCUCAAAAUACAUAUGAUUGCAUUCAUAUGUUGUUCUCCAGGAUUAUGCAUGUAUUGACUCACUAUACUCAGUGCAUAAGCAAGAUCUGGUCUGGUAUGAGCUAAGUACAUUAAUCUCCUUACAAGUCUUUGGUAUCUUCCUUUAUCGGUUGAUACUUGAUUAGGCUCAACACACAAUUUCAGACCUUUUUCUAUUGGUGUAUCCAAGGAUAGAAAUAUCGGUAAAUACGGAUAUAUCGGUACUUGGAUUUUACGGAUAUAUCGGAAAUAUCGGUGGAUUUUUCAUCAAAUAUCGGUGAGACAAAAAUUAUCCAAAAUUGAUGGGAAUGCUUAGAAAAAUCCAAAGAAUGAUAAAAUAAGCAAGAAUAUACAUGUUAAAGUUAUUUUAUAACUGUAAUUGACAUAAAUAUGGUCAAAGAAAAAAAUAUCGGUAAAUAGUUUACGAUACUUGGAUUUUAAGAAUAGAAAAUAUGAAAUUUGGAAUUGUACACUUAGAAAGUUAGAAUUGAGUUAAGAAAUAUUUGAUUUUAUUAAAUGAAAACAAUUUACACAUAAACAUAAUACAUAUGACAUUGCAAUGGUCCUUAAUACCAAAAUGAAGAUCGAUGUGGUUCCAUCAUAUUGUUAUUGUUAGAUGAAGGGAGCCCAUCUUGUUGAAGACAAUAUUCAUACCAGGACAUGGAGUUUCGAUAGUAUUGAUUGUAUGUACGAACAUGCCAUGCAUAAAUUUCUUGAGUCUACCAACAACUUGUCCAUGGAUAGGAAAUCCAAGGUUUUCCCAUGUGCUCGUUUGAAAUCCUUGUUGUUGCAACUGAUGUGGAAGGUAGUAUGGCAUUUGUGUGGAAGAAGGAUAGUUAUACCUUUCAUACUCUUCAUCAGUGGAACUUGAAAGAUUUUGAGGAGGCUGACCAUAACUCAUUGCAUAAGGGGCAUAAAUGUUGGCUUCGUUUGAUGAAUCACUGAAUUGAGUCUCUACACUCAUCGACUCAAAACUGGCCGACAAUGAGUCCUCGUUGUACAACAUCAUCCUUCGUUGUCUUCCUCUAUAUGGCUUUCCAAUGGCUCCAACACCUGGACCGGCUCUUCUAGAGCCGUGGUCUUCAUCUUGAGUACAAUGUGUGAAAUCAUCUUCACAAGUAAAUGCCAAUGGUUGUCCACUUUGUUGUUGUUGUCUAACAUCCCCUUCAUCAUUUCCAAGGUCGCUACCAUCAUUGGUCCCCUCUUCUCUUGAACCAUCAUAACCGGAAGCGGAGGCGAAAGUACCAGUAGCACUAGGUCUACUACUAUGUUCAACACUCGUGGAGUCAAAAGAAGGUCGAGAAGUGACUGCCGGCUGAGAAAUUCCUUGUCAAAAUGAAUAUCUCGUGUCUUGGCUGAAACUAUCAGUAUGAACUUCUUCGGAUAACACUCAAUCAACAUCAACACCUGCUUCUCGGACAUGUGCGGCAAUUCGUGGGUCGGGAUUUCCAUCUUCAUCAUCUAAAUGAAGAGGUCUAACCCAUUGAAACAAUUGGUUAUCUUCUUCUUCACCAACCUCAGUUGCAAUGUCAAGUAAAUCGAGGUAAUCUUUCUCUGCAACUUUGUCAUGUUCUGCUUCCAUGUCACGUAUCUUUAGUUUCAUGUUAUAAUAAUAGAAAACUAAUUGUUGGAGCAUCGGGUAAGCAAGCCGAUUUCUUUGUUUUGUAUGAAUUAAGGCAAACGUGCUCCAAUUUCUCUCACAAGCUGAAGAUGAUGCAGUUUGCGAUAAAGCCUUGAUGGCCAACCUUCUUAAUGUAGGAGUGUGAUUUCCAUACAUGAACCACCAUUCAGCUACAACCAAAUAAAUGAUAUCAAUACUUAUAUUGGAAAGUUACAAUAAUAUGCUAAUGAAAUGAAUUAUUAAUUCACAAAUAAUACUCACCGGGAACCAUUUCUGACCUCGAAGCAAUCGCUGCUCGAUCACCGAAUCCUCUUUUUGCAUCUCGAAAUAGUAUAAUCUACAUAUUAAAUAAUUGAAAGUGAAAAAGUUGAGUAAAUGAAAUUCAAUUAUUUAAUUUAUAUUAUAACUCUAAUAAUUUACCUCAUUUCCAAAUUGACUAAGACCUUCUGAUGUAGGAUCUAAUUUCGCAAAGACUUCAUGAACAGCUUGAAGUAGAUCAGGAUCAGUACCAACUCCACGUUUAUAUUGAAAUCUUGGAUUAAGAAAGAAUGCUACAAUAGUAAAGUAGAAAUGUAAAAUUAGAAUGUUAUGAAAGAAACAUAUUAAAUACCUAUAAAUUUCAAAGAUGAAUAAUACUUACCUGCUGCAUGAAGAGGAUGUUUAAGAGUUCUAUCCCAACGAUCUGCAAUUAUUUCUAACACCCAUUCUUUAGCAUUAAGUCGAAUGAGGUUCUCUUUCAUAACUCGAAUCAAUUCAUACACAAAUGGCAUUGUAGGAACAACUUCUGAAUCGACAAUGCGAAGAACUGUGUAUAACGCCUCAUAUAUUGACACUCACUUUCCCACUCUUUCCCAGUACGCAUGGUCAAACAUAAGUGAUUCAACUUCUUUGCCGAUUAAUGUGCGACUUAAGUUGUGUUGUGCCCAUUCAUCACUGAUAAACACUUUCUUCAAGUUUGCUUUCUUUUUCAAAAGACUGUCGAGGGCUAUAUAAUUGGUUGCAAAUAUUGUUGCUCCAGGACGAACUAUGUCUCCACCACACACCUUCCGCAUCUGUGCAAGCAACCAACCAUGGUUAUAAAUGAAGUUGGUUAUCUUUCGAGCCUUUGUAAUCACAUCUGCAACACUCGUCCUUUUACCGAUGUCUUCGAACAUUAAGUCGAUGCAAUGUGCUGCACACGGAGUCCAAUAAAGAUUGUAUUUUUUCAUUAACAACUUCCCCGCCUUCACAAAUGCCGACCCAUUAUCUGUAACUAUUUGGACCACAUUUUGUUUGCCAACUUCCUUGAUUACAUCCUUCAACAAACCAUAUAUGUAUUUGUUGUCCUUUAUAUUAUUUGAUGCAUCAACAGAUUUGAGGAAGAUUGUGCUACCUUUUGAAUAUACCAUGAAAUUAAUUAUGCUUAAUUUCGUGGGUCCAGUCCAUCCGUCAGACAUAAUCGUGCAUCCAUAAGUCUUCCACUUUUCUCUUUGAAUAUUGACAUAAGCUUCCAUGUCUUUGUACUCCAUAUCCAAAUACUCGUGUUUGAUUUCAUAAGGAGGCGGUGGUUCUAUACCCAUACCUACCAUCCAUAUAUAAUUAAAACAUAUAAGAACAUUUGUGGCAAUCAUACUAUAUAAAUAGUAAUGAUAUUGUUAAAAUGAAUACAACUUUUAAAAUUAUAGUAAUUACCUGCUUGUUGUGCACCAAUAAUCAUGUUCUUGAAGUGGUGAGAGUCUGCUUUAUUGGGCGGAACACUCUCAUAUAUGAAGAACUUACUGAUCAAAAGUCCCAUGGUUUCCUUGAUGGCACCACAUUUGAAAAGAUUUUUCAUAGUUUUCUGUCUUGCCGCUGAAGAUUUGUACAAUGAGGGUGCAUCAGGCAGUGAUGGAUCUGAAUAUCGAACACUUUGCGAUUUUCGCAUUUGCCUUGUUGUUGGAUUGGUUGGAUGUGAAGACUCGCCUAUUAUAAUUAUUAAAAUUAAACAUAUAUGCUAAUUUAAUAUUAUUGAUAAAGUUGAUAAGAAAUAGUAAUAAUUCAAAUUAAUAUUAUACUUGUUUUUCUUUUGCUUUUUAUAAAAUGUUCUUCUUGUUGUCGAUUCCAUUCAGCAGCUUUUGAUGCUUGAACCGCCUCUCUAUAAGCAUGUCGCUCAUCAGGGUGCAUGUCAGCCGGAUACAUAUACACAUCAUCAUCUCCAUCAUCAUCAUCACCACCAAGGUUCUCCUCAUCGUCCUCAUCAAUUACAUGUCUAUGUCUUCUUCCCAUUGUGUCUCGCAGUUCUGAUCGAAUCUCUUCUAUAUCUGCAGCUUUCUUCGCUUUUGCCUUAUUUUUUUGCUCUAGAAGUCGUCUUAUUUCUUGUUUCACUUCUGGAGGCACGUUAAGACACUUUUUUGUAUUUGAAUUAGGGUCUGUAUGUGAUAGGUGAAAUUUAAAACAAGUAAUCCCACCACUCUUUAUUGCCAACCCACAGUAAUUGCAUAUUGUUCCAUUUUUGUUCCCUUCCAUAGGUGUACAAUAUUUCCAACAAGGAUCUCGACCCAUGAUACCACUUUCACUAGCCAUUUUCUAAAAUUGAAUUAUGAAACUAAUAUCAAAUUUAAAAUUAUUAAAGAUAAAACAUGUAUGAAAUUUAAUAUUCAUGAAAUUGAUAAGAACUAAUAAAAAUUGAAAUUAAAAUUGAAUUAUGCACAUAUGAAAUAGAUAAACAUUACAAUAAAAUUUCAAUAUGAAUUAAAUUUAAAUUAAAUUAAAUUUGCAUAUUCAUGAAAUUGAUAAGAAUCAUUACUAAUAAAAAUUAAAAUUAAAAUUGAAUUAUGCAUAUAUGAAAUAGAUAAACAUUACAAUAAAAUUUUGAUAAGAAUUAAAUUAAAUUAAAUUAAAUUAAAUUUGCAUAUUCAUGAAAUUGAUAAGAAUCAUUACUAAUAAAAAUUAAAAUUGAAUUAUGCAUAUAUGAAAUAGAUAAACAUUACAAUUACAUUUCCAUAUGAAUUAGAUAAUAUCAAUUAAACUAUAUAUAACAAAUAAAAUUGAAUUAUACAUAAUAAAAUAAAUUUUAUGGAAGGUAAGACAUACCUUAAUUAGCCUUGACUUGGAGUUAAUCCCCUUCACCACCAAAUUUUCAAAAUAAAAAAAUUUUGCUAGAUCAUAUAAGAAUUUUGAUGUAUGAAAUGGAAUGGAAUGUGGGUAUUUAUAGGAAUUUUUUGGUCAAACUAGCCAUUGGAUGGUCAAAUAGUCGUUAUAAAUUAAUUUUAACCGUUGGAUCAAAAUUUGGUUCAAAUUUCACCAUUAGAUUUUCAUAUAACCGUUGGAAACACUCCAUAGCCCUUGGAUAAAGUGAAGAUUGAUUUUCCACCAUUGGAUCACAAAUCUGACCGUUGGAGGCCUUUACAAAUACACGGGUGAAAUCUGGGCCAUCAGAUCCUCAAAAAUUCAAAAUUGGCCAUCAGAUCAAAAUCAUUGGAGCUGGGAAAAAUCGGCGAUUUUCUCGGUAAAAAAUCGGCGAUAUAUCGGUAAAAUCGUCGAUUAAUCGCUGAUUUUUUCAACUCCUCUGGCAGCUUCUCCGCGCGUGCCUCCACUCUUCGAUUUUUUGCCGAUUUAUCGGUGCUUCACCGAUAUUUCGCCAAUAUAUCGGCGAUUUUGCCAAUUUUUGGCCGAUUUUUCCAUCGAUCGAUAAUCGGUGACGAUUAUUGUUUCAGUGCCGCCCGAUAUCCGAUAUUUAUUCGAAAUAUCAACGAUAUAUCCCGAUUUUUCAAUCCCUGGGUGUAUCAACAAGUUGACAUCCCGACAUUCCAGUCUCCUAUAAAAGAUUUAAGGCAUACUUUCUUUGAGACAGAAAAAUUCAUUCACUUGAUUGAGAAACUUCAAUCCCAAGAAAGUAUUUCGGAGGACCUAGAUCUUUCAUUUCGAAUUCUCUAGAUAGAUAAUUCUGUAGAGCUUUUCUUUCUUCAGGAUCAUUUCCUGUAACUACCAUGUCAUCCACAUAUACGAUGAGUGUCGUAAUCUUACCAUGUUGCUUUUUCAGGAACAAAGUGUGAUUUGAAUUACUUUGAUGAUAGCUAAAAGCUCUCAUUGACUUUGUGAACCUUCCAAACCAUGCUCUCGGGGAUUGCUUCAACCCAUACAAUGAUUUCUUCAAUUUGCACACCUUCUGACAUUGCUUUUCUGACCCCAUGCAUCCUGAUGGAAGAUCCAUAUAUACUUCUUCAGAUAACUCGCCAUGUAGAAAGACAUUUUUUACAUCGAAUUGUUGUAAUGGUCAAUCCAGGUUUGCAGCUAAAAACAGUAAUACUCGAACUGUAUUGAUCUUAGCUACAGGUGCAAAUGUCUCUGUAUAGUCAAUUCCAUAAGUUUGAGUGUACCCUUUUGCUACCAAUCUUGCUUUAAAACGUUCAAUACUACCAUCUGCCUUGUACUUCACAGUAUAGAUCCAACAACACCCAACUGGCUUCUUUCCUGGUGGACAUUCUACGAGUUCCCAUGUUUCAUUCUUCUAUAAUGAUUUCAUAUCUUCAUUCAUGACUGCUUUCCACCUUGGAUUAGCUAAGGCUUCCUGCACACUGUUAGGAAUAGUUACAAUAGAUAAUUGAUUUACAAAUGACUUAUUUGAUUCAGACAAACAAUGGUUAGAUACAUAGUUGCUCAUGGGAUAUUUGACAUUGGUAGACAAUUUAGGUUCAUAUGUGGGUUUAGGAAUAUCUCUAUUAUGACGGUGUGGAAACCGUUUUGUGAAUGGAUUAGGUUCCAAAUUAAGAACACCCUCAACAGACGACGAUUGGUUUGGUAUUUCAGUGAAGGCAUCUUUAGACCCAAAUUGCUCGGAUGGUUCAAUUGUACUGUCUCUCCCCUCUUUUAUCACUUCUUCAGCUUCUGGGUGGUCAUUACUACCUGGUUCACCCGCUUCUUUAUUCACUAGUUUAGAUUGUCCAUAUUCAUCCUCCUUAGAGAUAUCAUAAUCGAGAGUCUGAAUUUCCUUAUAGUACUCCCCUUGAAGUUCAGACUCAAAUGAAAAAUACAUUGAAUCUUCAUGAAACACCACAUCCAUUGUAAUAAACAUUCGUCGAGUUGGAGGAUGAUAACAUCGAUAUCCCUUUUUGUGCAAUGCAUAUCCAACAAACACAUAUUGCAAUGCACGGGAAGUUAACUUGGUGCGUUGGUGUUUGUGUAGAUGCACAAAUGCCAUGCAACCAAAAACACGAGGAGGUAGAUUUGGGAUGGUUGGGGCAACUACAACAUUAGUAAGAGCUUGGAGAGGUGUUUGGAAGUCAAUUGAACUGGAAGGUACCCGAUUGAUCAAGUAUGUAGCAGAUAUGAUUGCUUCUCCCCAAUAAGAUAUCGACAUUUUUGCUGCUAUCAAGGAAGCAUGAACAACCUCUAACAAGUGCCGAUUUUUUCGUUCAACGACUCCAUUUUUCUGGGGUGUAUUGGAACAAGUAGUCUGAUGAAUGAUGUCAUGUCCUUCCAAAUACUUUUGAAGAUCAGAAUUAUGAUAUUCUCCACCAUAUCGCUACGCAGAACCCGAACCUUUGCAUUGUAUUGAGUUUCAAUCAUUUUAUGAAAAUUUUGAAACAACAAGUUCACUUCAUCUUUGGUCUUCAUCAAGCAUAACCAGGUCAUUCUGGUACAAUCAUCAAUAAAAGUAACAAACCAACGCGAGCCUCUCAAAGUUGGGACUUUGGAUGGGCCCCAAACAUCAUAAUGUAUAACCAUAAAAGGAAGCGGACUUUUAUUCAAAAUUAACGGAAACGAAGUACGAUGACUUUUAGCCAAUUCAAAAAUAUCUCAACGAAAACCAGAAAUAUCACUCAUUGCAAACAAAUUAGGAAACAAUUUUUUAAAAUAGCCAAAGGAAGCAUGUCCCAAGCGUCGAUGGCACAACCAAAUUUCAGACUUUUUCUCCUCCCCCUCAAAUCCAUCUAUCAUCAAGGCUUGUCGUAAUUUAUUGGAAUCCUUUGACUGCAAGUCCAAGUAAUAGAGUUUUUCCACUUAAUACCACAACCAAUCGUCUGUCUUGUUUGGAUGUCCUUAAAAACACAAAAUUCAGGCCAAAAAAUGACAAUACAAGAUAAUGCUGCAGUGAUUUGAGAAAUUGACAAAAAAUUGUAAUCUAAAGAUGGAACAACUAAAAUAGAAUCCAAAUUCAAAGUAUCAGUAAGAGUUAAGGAUCCUUCCCCAAUGACUGGGGUUGUGUUACCAUUGGCUGUGGAAAUAAUUUUUUGUGAGGAAGGUAUAAGGGGUGAGACCUGUCUAGAAUCAAAAGUCAUAUGAUCUGUAGCACCAGAAUUAAUUAUCCAUGCACUAUUAAUAACAGGUGUAGAAGUAUUCAAAAACUUACCAUCAUAAUCUAUAUUGGCUACCAAUGCAGAGACAUUCUCAGUAACAUUAGCCUCUGUUUUUAUUUCGGCAAUAGCUGCAGUCGAGGUUUUCUUGGAAUUCUUCUUCCGUUGAUCACGAUUAUGAUCCCACCAGUCUGGAUAUCCCACAAUUUCAAAGCAACAACUCUUGGUAUGACCAGUCUUAUUGCAGUGAGUGCAUUUGAAGGUUGACUUAUCAAUAUUAGGGCCCGUCUUAGGAUGGUUGGUCUUGGAUUGGUCCUGCCAAUUCUGGGUUGAUCGCUGUCGGACUACCAUAGAUGAGGUGUCAGGAUUGUCAUAUUAUGUUUUCAUACUAGCAUGACGCACUGCCUCUCGUCGAAUCAGUGCAUAGCAUUCUUCCAAAUUGGGAAGAAGAUCUUUGCGUAGAAUCUCUCCUCGAACUUGCUCAAAGUCACCAUCCAAUCCAGCAAGAAAGAUGUGCACCCAUUGUUGUUCAAUGGAUUUCCGAUAUGUUGUAAUGUCAUCAGGGUCUUUCAUGACCACCUUAUCCCGAUGAUCCAAUUCGCAAAAAAUCUCAGUUAACUCUCCGUAAUAUUCAGAAAGAGACCUGCCGCUUUGUUUGGAAGUGAAUACUUUUUUUAUUCAAAGUGAAAACUUGUAAUUCAUCGCUUCCAUCAUAGAAGACAUUUGAUAAUGCACUCCAAAUUUCUUGAGCGGUGGGUAAGCGUAAGUAACACUUCAUAAUUUCUUGACUCAUGGACAUUAACAACCAUUUCUUCACCUUUUGAUUCUCAGCAUACCAUUUUUCAUAUCUAUCUUCUGACUCUUUUGGUGGAUUUGUUUUACCUCGAAUGUAGGAAAGUUUUUCCCGUUCAACAAUAUGCAUCUUCAUAAGUUGUGACCAAACGUCAUAGUUUGAUUCAAUCAAAAUAAUUCCUAGAUUAAAAGUACCUUCAGAUUGAAAAAUAAUAGUAUUUUUUUCACUUUUUUUUUUUUUUUGAUGAUUAAAUAUAAUAUAUAUUCAACUGGUGAUGUAGGAAGAAAGUGACAAAAAAUAGGGGACCCUAAAUAGAAAGAAAGAUUUUUCAAGAAAAUCAAAUAAUAGAGAAAAAAAUAGUAGAAGACACUGAAAGUACAAAUAAGCAUGCCAGGUUGUAGGACAAUGUCAGUUUUCCGGCAACUGUCCAAGAUUUCAGUUCCAUGGCUUUGAUACCAUCUUCAAAUUAAUGAAUGAGGUUUUUUUUUUUCUCAUUCAUAUUUUUAUUCAUUCAUGUACAGAGUAUAUAUAAAGGGUAAUCAUCAUUCUAAGAAUGGGAAAAAAUGAUACAAGGAAUGAAUGAUAUAAGGAAACAAUGAUACAAGGAAAGGAAUGACAUAAGGAAAGAAUGAUACAAGGAAAGUAUUCCUAAUAUCUCAACAACUGGUAUAUCACUUUUGACGAUAAAAGGAAUUUUAGUUAAAAGUGAGGUUAAUUGCUCUAUUGUAAUGAUAUGAUAUAAAAUGUCUCUUUGAUGGAAAAAAUUGAAAAUUGAGUUCAUAGAAUUUAGUCUGAAAAUUAUUGAAAAAUGUCUCAAAUUCUUAAUUAAUAAAAAUUUAUUUUUACACAGAAUAUUAUAUAAAAUAUUUUCUAAAUUAAUACAUCAUUGUAAUAUUAUAUUAUUUUAUAGAAUAAACAAAGUUAUUAGAAAUAUCUUAAUAAAUAUUUUAGGUUAAGAAAAGAAAAAGUUAAUAAGAUAAAUAUGAGCUUUUAGAGACUACACAUUGUUUUAUCUUAGUAUCGGAAGGCCAGGUUGCGGAGAAGUUGAACAUGGAUAAAGCAUAUGGGCUGGCCUUACAAUGAGCCGCCCCACUAAUGGUGCACCCACAGCCGAGGCUGUCACCCCAAGGUUUCGGGAAGUAAAUGAGGUUGUUUUCCCAUGAUUAAAACAGAAAACUUGAUGAUGGAUUUGGCUGAAUAAUUAUGACGUUGGAGAGCGAUGGAGUGUAGUAGUUUCGUGAUGGGUUUUCCCUCAGCCACGUGGACGUUAAUAUUGUAAACGUUGACUCUGAAGGAGCUAUCUAAUAAUGCAAUAUGUCGGAUUAAAAAUUAAAUUAUUUACCCCACAAUAUGAAUGUCGAGCGUAGGAGAAGAAAGUCAUAUGAUGAAUAUGAAGGCAUCACAAUCUAAAGAGUCGUGCAAUGCGGCGAGUGAAUAUGACCAAUAAAAGCACGAAAACUGAACGGGAGUCGCUUCAUCUGUCCUGCAUUCAUUUACAUUCUUUGCCCCAUUGGUUAAGAAUCCGUCCUGUUCUAGGAAAAUUUUUCCCAUCAUUUCGAAUGUCUUCCCAUUUAAAUAUGAAAUUUUGAAUGGUCGUGUAUGAUUUUUUUCUUACUAGCCAUUAUUUUGAGAAUAAUACAAGUUUGACCAACACAACUAUGUCUUUUUUCCUCAUAAUAAAUUUCCAAUCUUGAUUCAUUAUAAUUUUUUAAUGAAAUAAUUCAAAAAAACUACAUACAAGUUGUUAUACAUCUUGCUCAUGUGUGUAAAAGGAAAGAGAUACAUCCUUGUUUUUCAACUAUUAAAAUGAUAUCCUUGGGCCAAUUCUUUCAUUACGUCUGAAUAUUUUGGGAGAAUUGUGGAACCAUUUUGAGACAGUGAAUUUAAAUAGCAUUUUUAAUAUUUUAAAAAAUUAUUAUUAAAAACGUUUUUUAAUAUCCAUUUUUUCAACAUCAGGACCAAGAACGCAAAAUAAAAUAUAAUUUUCCCUACUUGCUACCAAAGAUUUUGGUUGAUUAUUUUUCUGAUAAUAAAUAAUAUUUUAUUUUGCGUUCUUGGUCAAAAAAUGGAUAUUAAAAUAUAUAUAAUUUUUCAGCUACAACAGCGCGCACGGAGCACGCUCUUAGUUAGAACACACUUGUACCCGUCAUCUUUGAUUUAGCUAACCCCGAAUCUCCCUUUAUAUUCCUCUCUGGAUUCAGGAGCCGAGACUCAGAGAUAAGCCAAGAAGCCAUGAAUCCCCUGGCGCUGAUUUUCUGCACGGCUCUCUUCUGCAUUCUCCUCUACCACUUCCUCACGCGCCGCUCUGUCCGCCUCCCUCCGGGGCCCAAGCCAUGGCCGAUUGUGGGGAACCUCCCUCACCUGGGCCCCGUCCCUCACCACUCCAUUGCUGCGCUCGCUAAAACCUACGGCCCUCUCAUGCAUCUCCGUAUGGGCUUCGUCGACGUCGUGGUGGCCGCCUCCGCCUCCGUUGCCGCUCAGUUCUUGAAAACUCAUGAUGCUAAUUUCUCCAACAGGCCUCCUAAUUCAGGUGCCAAGCAUAUCGCCUACAACUAUCAGGAUCUGGUGUUCGCUCCCUACGGCCCCCGGUGGCGCAUGCUCCGCAAGAUUUGCUCCGUCCACCUCUUCUCUGGCCAAGCCUUGGAUGAUUUUCGCCAUAUCCGACAGGUACCUAGCUUAAUCUCUCUCAGAAAUGAAUCCUUUCUCAAUUUUAAUCCAUUUUUCGUUUUUUCUUCCUGAUCGCUUCUAUUAUUUCAUCGCAAAUUAAGAUCUGGUUACACAGAUUUCAUUUUUCCAUAAAAACAUGUAAGAAAAUAAUAGCAUGUGUUCACCAUCAUUGUCUAGUCCUGUCAGAGUAUUUGCAGUCUCCACUCUCUCUGUAUACACUACACAUCUUUUUGAAGAAGGCCCGGCUCCACAAGUUUAUUAUUACUAUUUUUUUAAUGAUUUUUUUUAGUAAGGUUGUUUUCCUCCGGCAGUGGAAGUCCGUGCAUUCACGCGAGACUUUACCAUUUAAUAUUUAAAAUUAUAUUUUUUUAAUGUUUGUUUUAUAAAAAUACUGAACUGACAAAUGAGUUGCCGCUGAGUUUUAUCCAAUUUUGAUGAUUAGAAAAAUAAUCAGUAGAUGAAAAUUUAUGUGACGUACAGGAGGAGGUUUUGGCGCUAAUGCGCGCACUUGCGAGGGCGGGUCAAACGCCGGUGAAGUUGGGGCAGCUGCUGAACGUGUGCACUACCAACGCCCUAGGGCGGGUGAUGUUAGGCAGGAGAGUGUUCGGCGACGGCAGCGGAGGCGAAGAUCCGAAGGCCGACGAGUUCAAAGAGAUGGUGGUGGAGCUGAUGGUCCUGGCCGGAGUUUUCAACAUCGGCGACUUUGUGCCGGCGCUGGAAUGGCUGGACCUGCAGGGCGUAGCUUCCAAGAUGAAGAAGCUCCAUGCUCGGUUUGACGCUUUCCUGGGCGCCAUCGUGGAGGAGCACAAGAUCAGCGGCUCUGCUGGUUCCGAGCGUCACGUGGACUUACUCAGCACGUUGAUCUCGCUGAAGGAUAAUGCCGACGGUGAGGGAGGCAAGCUCACCGACGUUGAGAUCAAAGCCUUGCUCUUGGUAUCUCUCAUUAUCCAUUUUCUGUCACUGUUUCGUCUACUUCUUGUGGUAAUUUGGCACCUGAAAUUGAUGAAAACCGUCUGUUGACAUGGCAGAACUUGUUCACAGCUGGAACUGACACCUCAUCCAGCACAGUGGAGUGGGCCAUUGCAGAGCUCAUUCGCCACCCUGAAAUGAUGGCCCAAGCCCAACAAGAGCUGGACGCAGUGGUGGGCCGAGGCAGGCUUGUAACUGAUUUGGACCUGCCCAAACUUACCUAUCUCCAAGCCAUAGUCAAGGAAACCUUCCGCCUGCACCCAUCCACGCCCCUCUCCCUCCCUCGGAUGGCGGCGGAGAGCUGUGAGAUCAACGGCUACCACAUCCCCAAAAACGCCACUCUUCUAGUGAACGUGUGGGCCAUAGCGCGGGACCCAGAGGUGUGGGAGGAGCCACUAGAAUUCAGGCCCAACAGGUUCCUCCCAGGAGGGGAAAGAC
rnacentral:lncRNA from 1 species